UGUCUUUUAACAUCUUAUCCCAUCAUAUCCUUUCUAAAUCCAUUUCUUCCAAAAUACCAUCCAAACACUCACCUACAAAUCAUCCUUCUUAAAAGUGGGUCCCCCUUAUUAAAACCAUCUCUCACUUCAAUCCACCCUCAAAUCCCCCUUUAUUUCAAAUCUAUCAAAAUCAUCUCCGACCGCCAAAUGGGCUGUAAGGGCCUGUUUGGCAUCCGGAGAUGGUCCCGAAUUUGGCCAUCUCCCGGAUUUGUUCUCCCGUGAUACUCCUUCUCCGGGUUUGGUGAGUAUUUUGGACUCCCUGAUUUCUUCUCCGUUUGCCUUCAAAAUCCUUCCCGUGGUUGGACAUAGGACGGACAGGGAUACCCCUGUCCGUGGUCAUGCGUUCCCCGCGUCGUGUGAAUGACUGUGUGGCCCUCGUUUAUGGAUCUGUGGUUUUGUGUUCCUGAAAUGUGACUUGAGCUUGGUUGAAUCAUUCCUGGGUUGCAAAGUAAAAGGGGAACAAUAGAGGAUUGAUUGCAACGAAGGGGAAGAACAGGGGGUGAGGAAAGGGAAAAACAAGGGACUAGUUGGGGUGAAUCUUCAGUUCAGAUUUCUGAGGCAUGGGAGGUUUGGGAGAGAGAGGAGAGAUAAGCCAUUGAUGAAUUGGAGAAACAGGCAUGAAAAAUGGGCUCAAAUGGUGGGUUCACACUGUUGCAUCGACUAUUAGAUGACAGAAAGUCUCUAGUUUAUAAAAAAAAAAAUUCUUUUCUUGUUCUAUUUUUUUUUAAUUUUUGUGCAAUUAAUUUCAGAUGAAUUUGUUUGUUCUUGAUUCAAAUGUUCUUCAUUUGUCCAUUUAUAGUUUUUUGUGUAAUUAUAAUUAAUAAAUAAAGUGAAUUAGUAUGAUGUGAGGCCUUGAUGGUUAUAAAUUUCUUCUUGUUGUCAUUUUUUUUUAAAUUUGUACAAAUAUUUUCUUUAAGGUGAAUUUGAGAUUUUUUUUGAGUCUAAAUCUUUAACCACAAAAUACUAUUUUUUGUUAUUUCAAUUUUGUGCAAAUAUUUUCACCUAAAUGUUAUUGUUAUUGUUUCUAUUUGCUUCAAAUUUUCAUUCAAUAAUUUUGUAUAUUUAUAAUUUAUUAUAAAUAAAAUGAAUUAGAUGUGAGUUUUGUCAACUUUUGAUGGACCCAAGUUUUUUGUGAGCACAAGUACUAAAUAAUAAUAACUAUUUUUAAAUUAGUAAUAUUUUAUACAAAUUAAUAUUGAAAAUCUAAAGUAAUAUUAACAAAAAAAGUUUGAAAGUAAUUUUCUUUAAUAUUUACUACAUCAUUAAUUUUGAAUAAUUUAAACCCACAAAAAUAAAUUUAUAUAUUUUUAAUCUCUAUAUUAAUACUCCAGUGAAAUUUUGAUUUUAAUCAUUUCAAUAUUAAUUAAUUAUUUUUAUCUAAUGAAAUGAAAUUAACCUUUAAUAUUAACACUACUUAAUGAAAUGGGGACAAUUUUGUCUUUUGACAUCUUAUCCCUAUCUAAUCCACUUUCAAAUCACCUUUGUCCAAAACACAUCCCAAACACCAAAUUAUAAAUCCACCCUCUUAAAAGGUGGACCCCACCUUAUUAUAAAUCACCUCUCAUUUCAAAUCUACUCUCAAAUCCUCCCUCAUUUUAAAUCCACCAAAAUCAAAUCAUUCUGCCAAAUGCACCAUAAAUCUCUAACAUGAAAAGAGAUUUAGAGUUGAUUCAGGUAAUACCACCCUGUUUGGCGGAGGGAGAUGGUUCCGAAGUUGGCCAUCUCCCUGAUUUCUUCUCCUCUUCUCUCUUUCCUCCCGGGUUUGGGAGUAUUUUUGCCUCCCUGAUUUCAUCUCCCGAUGGCCUUCGAACUCAUCUAUAGCCAAUAUUGAGGGGGGACAGGGGGGUACCAACCGUCCGUAGUGAAGGGCGGUGUCCGCAUGGUGGGAAAGACCGUUGUGCCUCGUGCUGUGGGAAGAAGACGUCUCUCUCUCGCUAGCUUAAAAUUGAAAUUGGGAAGACGCCCACUGAAGGGAGUAAUUUUAUUGGGUAAAUUCACUGACCUCCCCUUAGUUUAUGGGUUAACCACAAGAAAUCUUGGCAUUUAAGAAAUUAUAAUUAUCCCCCUAAAGUUUUAAAAAUUUGUAAUAGAUUCCCUCAAUUUACUCAAAAAAAUAUUUCCUAAAUUAUAUCUUAAUAUUUAAAUUCAUUUUUUACUUAAUUUUGAUUUUAUUUAUUUUUUAUUUAUUUAUCAAAGUGAAACAUUUUUCUAAACUAUAAGGACCUUUUGGUUGUGGGUUACUAUUUGGGUGUGUUUGGAGUUUUUCUUCAAAUAUUUUUAUGUUUAUUCUUUUUAUAUUUUUUAAUUAUCUUGAAGACAAAGUUUAAAAAUUCAAAAUCCUUGAUCAAAAGUUUAAAGUAAUUAAUCGAUUUUUUUAACUUAUUUUUCUUACAAUUACAGACUUGUUUUCAUUUUGGACUAGUUUUUUCUACCUUUUGGGUUGGUCACUUUUUUAAAAUUUUAAUUUGAAUAAUUUACACCCAAAACAAUUAAAUUAUAUAUUUUUAAACUAUAUAUUAAUAUUUUCAUUAAUUUUUUUAGUUUAAUCAUUUAAAUAUUAUUACUUAUAUUUUAUCUAAUUAAAGCGAAAUAUAUUUAAUAUUAACACUAAUUAAUGCAGUAGGAGUAAUGUUGUCUUUUUAUAUCUUAUCACAUCAUAUCCAACAUCUAAAUCCCUUCUUCAACCCUCCAAUACCAAAUUAUAAAUCAAUCAUUCUUAAAAGGUGGGGCCCCCCUUAUUAUAAAUCCUCCCCUCAUCAAAUCCCCUUCAAUUCUCACUCAUUUAAAUCUACCAACAAAUUAUCUCUUGCUGCCAAACGGGCUGUAUAUGUCUUGGUUGGUUGGAGCCUGGACUUAGAGGACGGGAAGAAAGAGGUCCAAACGGGGGAAAAGUGGUUUGAGGGUAAUUUUGUCAUUAAACUGGACAUACUGACACGGAUGAAUGGUGCGGAAAAGAACUGUGACAGACGGUCAUGAAUGGCACGUGGGAGCCAAUAAAAGCCCUGCUUGAAGCAUUCCCCCCAAACCCCCCAAAAAAAAAACACGUGUAAUGUUUAUACGAGUGUCCUUCUCUAUGUCAGGCGAGAAUCACCUGUCCCGAUUUUUUUCUGUCCCCAACCACCAGUGUUUUUAGACCAAAUGAUACACAUAUCCAUUUAUAAUUUAUCAAAGUAGGUUAUGUAAUUUAUUUAACUCAUUAAUAAUUACAAAUAUACAGGUACCAUCCAUUUAAGUUUGAGACAAAAACAAAUCGGGACAGUGAAUCCCGCCCCCUCUAUCUCAUCGUCCAUCUAUAAAAGAUGACUAACAGAUGACCCCUAAUACAAGAGUUUAAAAUGAUUUUUAAAAAAUAUUAUUUUAUAAAUAUUAGCUAAUUGUAUUUUUUAAAUAAAUAUCAAAUGCUAUAGAGAAAGUGAUGGACCUAAAGGGGACGGCUAGAAUUUAAAAAAAAUCUAAUUAUCGAUAUCAUAGUUAUAAAAAUCGAAUCGAAUCGGCCGGUUGAAUCGAAAACCGAACCAUGAACCGGUAUGGUUCAAUUAAUUACCGAAAAUGCAUGUGAACCGUAUUAAACCAAGUGAACUAGACGAUUUUUUGAAAAACUAGUGAAUUGCCGGUAUUUAGUGAACCAUCCGAUUUUUAAAAAAAAUUAAAAAACUAAAUAUUACAAAGAUUUUAAAAUAUUUAUUUUUUAAAAAAAUAUCUUUUAUGAUUUUUUGAUGAAAAAAAGUAAAAUUUUCAAAUAAAAGUCAAGAGAAGAAAAAAAAAUGACUGUUUAUUAUCUCAUCUUUAAAAUGAUUAUGAAAAUCUUUAAAUAACGCAUGUUUCUCUCUUUUUUACCUUUGAUAUCUCAUCUUUAUAUAUUUAUUAUAUUAUAAUUAAAUAUAUUGAGAUGUGUAUUAUCAAAAAUUAAUUCAAAUUUAACAAAUAUAAAUUAAAUUAAAAAUAAAGAUACAAAAUAGGAAGGUAAUAGGAAGAAAAAAAAAAAAAUAAAAAUAACACCACUACUGCAUAUUAUUAUCUAAUAAUAAUAUUAUUGACAGUUGUACGUUUUUUCUUUUAAAUAUAAAAUAAUAAUAAUAAUGUUUAAAAAUCUAAAUGGAAAGAAAAAAAUCUUCUUAAAUAUUUUUUAAUUAUUUAUUUUAUUACUUGCCUUUUAUCGAUAUUUAUUAUUUGUGCUUAUAUUGAAUUAUUGUAGAAAAAUGGAAUCUUUUACCUAUUGAUAAUUUCUUAAAUAAUUGUUUUUAUUUAAAUAUAUUUUUAUUAUUUAUUUGUAUAUAAAAUGAUUGCCACCACGAUUGAAUCAAUAAUUAUUGAACCGAUGCCUUGACCGGUUCAAAUAACCGAUUUUGAUCGAUAUUUUCAAAAUAAAUGGCUUCGUCACCUCACGCCUUCCCAGGAUCAUAAUUUUAAAGCACUGUGUGUUAUUUCGGUGAAGUUGACGAUCGUCAUCCUGUAAGUGGUGUAAAUAUGACUAGAAGCUGAUCCGUACAAAAGAUAGAAAUGGAUCCGUAGGAGGUUCUAAAGAUCUUUGGAAAAUUACAGAAAAAGACUCAUAUGUUUGACUCAUAUGUUUGACUUCAUUAACGAAUUAAAUUUUAUAAUUUUAAUUAUUAUAAAUUAAAUCAUAAAAUUUUGAUCUAAAUUAAAAUUUAUAGUUCGACUUCACUAUUAAAAUUUGUUGCUAGUUUCUAUUUCAUUAGGGUUGAAGGAACCAACUAAUUUUUAACAAAAAAUAAAAAAAUAAACGUAUUUCAACGUAAUUACCAUUUAAUCGAUGCAAUUAUAGCUCAUUUUUUAAUAAAAAUUAAAAUAACUUUUAAUAUUUUAACUUAAAUGAGCCCUAAUUGCUUCGAUGAAGGUUUUAAAGGGUGAUAACUUUGAAAUACAAGCCUUUUUCGUCAAUUUUUUUGCAAGAAUUGGGGGUUGGUUUGGUCGUGCCUAAUGAAACAAACUGACUGACGGGGUUUCCUUAAUUAUGUCAUAUCAAAACUUUAAUGAUUUUAUUUAUAUAAUUAAAACUAAAGAACUUAAUGUUAUUAUUGAGUCAAACCCUACGUUAUUUUGUAAUUUUACAAUGACUUUUACAUAAAUAAAUUUUUAUAAAGUUAGCUAAUUGUUUUUCUUACAAAAAUAUCAAAUGUGUAAUGUAUAUAGGAAAUUAAAACUAUAGAGUUUAAUUUGUUAUUGAUGUCAAACCUAUUUUUUUUUUUAAUUUUUCCAAAGAUUUUUUAAACAUAAAUAAUUUUUUGUAAAUGUUAGCUAAUUAUUUUUCUUAAAAAAUAUAAAUUGUGUAAUAUACACACAAACACAUAUCCUUCUAUGUCUCGUCAUCAUAUAAGAAAUGAUUAGCAAUUGACACGUGAUAGUAUCACAGGAUUAAAAAGAUUUUUAACAAAAUAAUUUAGUUGUAAAUGUUAGCUAAUUAUUUUUCUUAGAACAAAUAUCAACUGUGUAAUAAAGUAACUAAUGGUUCAGAGGAUAAAGGCCACGAUCACCAUAACAAAGUUAAGUUUCAAUUUUAUUGCAAUAAUAAUUACAGAUAUUUUCAAAUUACAAAAUUAAAUUAAUGUUAGAUUUUACUCAUGGCUACAAACUCGUAAAUUUGUAUGUACAUCUCUCCUCAAAUUAUAAAUCUGUGAUCUAUAAAUGCAAAGUGUCCCCUCUCUAUCUCGGCAUUGCUUAGAGGUGGCAAACGUGGGCCCGCCGUGCCUUGCCGUGCCACUUUUCUUCCGUGCCAACCGUGUCUUCGUGCCGUGCCGUGUCGGGCCCAUUUACAUUAACGUGCCUUGUCAGGCCGGGCCUUAAUCGUGCCGGCCAUUUUUAAUCGUGCCGUGUCGUGCUUUUUUUUUUAUUCGUGCCUUGCUGUGCGUGCCAUUUAAUAUACCGUGUCGUGCGUGUGCCGGCCAUUUACUUAAUCGUUCUAUGUCGUGCCGGCCCGCUUACUUAAAAUCGUGUCUUGUCGUUGCCGCCCGUAACUUAUCGGGUGACUCCGUGUCGUGGCCGUGCCGGCUGUCUACUUAAUCGUGUCGUGCCGUGCCCGUCUAACGCAAAUCAUGUCAUGUUUGCCCUAUUUUACUUUAGGUUAUCAAAUAUUUUUUUAAAUCAAACCGUCAACGUCUUAUAAUGGGAGUGGAUUUUAUUCAUCCAUGCAAAAAUUGAAGUAAAGUAAUUCUUAUACGUACUUGAUCGAAUGAGAAUAAUUUUUUAAUUUUAUAUUCUACGUCCGGAUAAAAGGGUUUGCAAUACCCGAUAGGACUUCAAAUUUGGUGAGAGUGAUUAAGAAUAUCAAGACAAAAAGGUGACGCGUUUUGGAUCGUCAUAAUUGUGUUGCAUCUUUUGCUAUUGUACAUUAUCCUACACACAAUAAUUGGUGUAAGAUCAAGUACUUGAUAUAGAGGAUUGAAAGACAUGUCAUAUACUCGAUUUUUCUGGAUGUUUGAUCUAACCGUUACGAUUUUUAUAUCGUUCAAUUUUAUAUUUUUUCCUCAAAAAUUAUGGCGAUCAAAUGUCUGCACCACCGAUCGGGUCACUUCGGUGCAUCUAUGAGCAAUAAUAUUCCUAUAAGCAUGACUUGAAUGGCCAUCACAAUAUUUUUUUUCUGAAUCGGAAACCGUUUUAGAUUAUAAUUAUGAGUGUUGUAUAUUUAUGCAAAAAUAAAAUACUUUUUAAUUAUGUUACAUACUUGAUCAAAUGAGACAAAUUAUUGAUUGAUAAUGAAUAAAUAAACACUUUCCCAGAUGAAAGGUCUUUUAAUAUCCAAUUAUAUUUCAAAUUCGCGAAGUGAUUAAAAUAGCAUACAAACAAAGUGAACGGUGUGAUAUUAUCAUAAUUCAUUUUUGCGAUUGUGUGGUUAGCGAUACAACAAAUUCGGCGAGAGUGAUCAAAUUUUAGUUUUAAUUUUUUCUCAGUGAAAUAAAAUAAAUUGUGUAUUUUUGUCUUCUUAUGGCCCUAAUAUGGGCCUAAGUCAAAAUUUAAAUUUAUAGUUUUUGUUUUCAAAAUUUAAUUUUUAUUUUUUUUUAAAUUUUUAAUUUUUGUUAUUGAGAAUUUUAAUUUUAAAAAUUUUUCUCAUUUUUUUUUCUUAUUAUGGCAUUUAUGGCAAAGUCAAUUUAUUUAAUAAAAUCUAUUUUUUUUAUUUUUAUUAUUUAUGGCCAUAGCCCAUAAUCAGUCAAAAUUUCUUUAUUUUAUUUUUAUUUUUUAAAUAAUGUUUGUAUGUUUUUAUUUUUUUUUAUUAUGACAAGGUCCAUUUAUUUAAUUAAAUUUUCUGUUAAUUUAAUUUAAUAAUUAAUUAUUUUUUGCACUUCCGUGUCGUGCUAGCCAUUCCGUCCAUACCCUUGCUUUGCCCUUGAUACAUCCGUGACAUGCUCGUUGCCGUGCUUUGGCUAAUCUGUGUCUUGCUGGCCAUGCCAUGCCAAACCAAACCAACUAUCGUGUCGUGUCCCAGUUGUCGUGCCUGGACUUUUG
rnacentral:lncRNA from 1 species